rfam:Nematostella vectensis strain CH2 x CH6 NEMVEscaffold_589_Cont30495, whole genome shotgun sequence.
GUCAGGAUGGCCGAGCGGUCUAAGGCGCCAGACUCAUGGUUUCAAUUCCUUCUCAUAAUACAUGGAAGAGUGUUCUGCUCUCCGAAUGGAGGCGUGGGUUCGAAUCCCACUUCUGACA